rnacentral:rRNA from 1 species
GACGAACGCUGGCGGCGUGCCUAAUACAUGCAAGUUGAGCGCUGAAGGUUGGUACUUGUACCAACUGGAUGAGCAGCGAACGGGUGAGUAACGCGUGGGGAAUCUGCCUUUGAGCGGGGGACAACAUUUGGAAACGAAUGCUAAUACCGCAUAAAAACUUUAAACACAAGUUUUAAGUUUGAAAGAUGCAAUUGCAUCACUCAAAGAUGAUCCCGCGUUGUAUUAGCUAGUUGGUGAGGUAAAGGCUCACCAAGGCGAUGAUACAUAGCCGACCUGAGAGGGUGAGCGGCCACAUUGGGACUGAGACACGGCCCAAACUCCUACGGGAGGCAGCAGUAGGGAAUCUUCGGCAAUGGACGAAAGUCUGACCGAGCAACGCCGAGUGAGGGAAGAAGGGUUUCGGAUCGUAAAACUCUGUUGGUAGAGAAGAACGUUGGUGAGAGUGGAAAGCUCAUCAAGUGACGGUAACUACACAGAAAGGGACGGCUAACUACGUG